UGAGGUAUAACUCAGGGGUAGAGUGCUUGCUUAGCACCUAUGAGGCACUGGGUUCAAUCCCCAGUACCAGAA
rnacentral:tRNA from 1 species